rnacentral:lncRNA from 1 species
GUCGUAAUUUGCUAGUCAGUCAGUCAGUGUCGGAUUCCGGGCGACAUUGCGUACGCUUUGCCCUUUGAUUUGAAAAUAUAUAAUUUUAGCAUUAUUAAAAUCGUUUUUUUUUUUGUUUUGUUAUCUUUGCUACACUCGAUAUUAUUGCUUCCGCUGUAUCAAAGCUAGCGGAUUAGUCUAAAUGUCUGUACAAUGUAUAGUAAUAUUUCUUUUCAUGACUUGUUU